rnacentral:misc_RNA from 1 species
GAUGAAGAACGCAGCGAAAUGCGAUAAGUAAUGUGAAUUGCAGAAUUCAGUGAAUCAUCGAGUCUUUGAACGCACAUUGCGCCCCCUGGUAUUCCGGGGGGCAUGCCUGUCCGAGCGUCAUUGCUGCCCUCAAGCACGGCUUGUGUGUUGGGCCCCCGUCCCCGGUUUCCCCCGGGGACGGGCCCGAAAGGCAGCGGCGGCACCGCGUCCGGUCCUCGAGCGUAUGGGGCUUUGUCACCCGCUCUGUAGGCCCGGCCGGCGCCAGCCGACACCCAACUUUAUUUCUAAGGUUGACCUCGGAUCAGGUAGGGAUACCCGCUGAACUUAAGCAUAUAAUAAGCGGAGGA